AUUAGUGGGCAAUGUUUAAGGUUUGCUGCUUCGCCAUUUUGCUCGUGUUGGCAACGUUUUCCUUUUUCGUGCCCAGAAGGGAAAACGUAGGCCCCGAUAGCCGCAUAGUAUUUGGACUUCCUGGAGCAAGCGCUGCAAAGCGACUUGUAAGGCGAGGUUUGGCGAAAACCGUACGGACGACCACAUGGCGACCACGCGGAUAAGUGCAGCUCGGUCAUAUAUAUGGAUGGUCGGGACGAUGAUCAGCGCACGACCUUCCAGUAGUAGCUGGGGGCAGCAGAUAUUGAAGAUUGUUAGGAAACCUUGGAUGAGUUCAAUGAAUUCCGUCUUUUGACCCGUGAUCGCCAUGGAGCAAACUAAAGUGCUGAAUAAAGGUACACCAAACGUUUAUCA